rnacentral:rRNA from 1 species
AAUUUUGGACAAUGGGCGCAAGCCUGAUCCAGCCAUGCCGCGUGAGUGAAGAAGGCCUUUGGGUUGUUAAGCACUUUAAGCUGGGAGGAAGGGUUGUAGGUUAAUACCCUGCAAUUUUGACGUUACUAACAGAAUAAGCACUGGCUUACUUCGUGCCAGCAGCCGCGGUAAUACGAAUGGUGCAAGCGUGAAUCGGAAUUACUGGGCGUAAAGCGAGCGUAGGUGGUUCGUUAAGUUGGAAGUGAAAGCCCCGGGCUUAACCUGGGAAUUGCUUUCAAAACUGACGAGCUAGAGUACGGUAGAGGGUAGUGGAAUUUCCUGUGUAGCGGUGAAAUGCGUAGAUAUAGGAAGGAACAUCAGUGGCGAAGGCGACUACCUGGACUGAUACUGACACUGAGGUGCGAAAGCGUGGGGAGCAAACAGG